GGCCCGGUGGUGGACUGUUCACACUCGCACACGAUAAUGAAUGCUCUAUGAACGCAAUAUUAAUGAUUUGUGGGAGCACCCGUUCGACUCGGGUCCGGGCCA